rnacentral:rRNA from 1 species
UACGUAGGGGGCAAGCGUUGUCCGGAAUCAUUGGGCGUAAAGCGCGCGUAGGCGGCCCGGUAAGUCCGCUGUGAAAGUCCAGGGCUCAACCCUGGAAAGCCGGUGGAUACUGCCGGGCUAGAGUCCGGAAGAGGCGAGUGGAAUUCCUGGUGUAGCGGUGGAAUGCGCAGAUAUCAGGAGGAACACCAAUAGCGAAGGCAGCUCGCUGGGACGGUACUGACGCUGAGGUGCGAAAGCGUGGGGAGCAAACAGGA